UUUUCCUGAAGGCUUUCUUUGUCCGCUGGAGCCUGCUCUGCUACCUGUACAGUAGGACAGAAGUGCUCAGGAAAUAAUGCUGUUUGGUACCCAAGAACAGGCUUCCACAAGUUACCUGAGAAGUCCUCAUCCAAUGAUCUCAAGAGGGAUAACUUUGAUGCGUGUAUUGUAUACGGAUUCACCAAACCCCACGGUGGAAGAACCAUGGUCUUUAAAAUGGCCUCAAGACUCAACAAGAUGAUCUGCUAGAGACGCAAUGACCUUCCCGCUGAUCUUUGAACAACACAAACAUGCUUCUACCUCAGGACCUUCGCACCUGUUCUCCUUACAGACACUGAGGUUCACCCUUCCCCUUUCUUCCAUAUUUGAGUAAAUGUCAUCAUCCCUCACCCUCUUAAAUAAGUUCUCAAUAGCGCUUACCCACCCUGAUAAACUUCUCCUCUUUUCUAUCUUAGAUGUUGCCAUAUGGAUUAUCAAUAUCAAUUUAUUUAUGUGUUUUAGUCAUUUUCUGCCUCUGGCACUAAAAGUUACAUUCCUUAAAGGCAAAAUUUUUGAUAUGUGUUGUUCUGUGUUGUGUCCCCAAUGUCUGUCCCAAAGGAAACAUUCAAUAAAUACUACUUAAAUAAAUGAAUUAUUUGAUAAGAUGUCAAACAUAUCGCUUGUUAAACUGAAAGCAAUAUUUAUAUUUCAGAAAAAAUGCAUUAAUUAUAAUUUUUAAAUCUUUUCAUAAAAUGAAGCUAAUUUUUUGUUUAAAUAUAUUACUCUUUUCUUCCUCCCUAUACUUGAUACAAGUAUAUAUGGAGAAAAUUCCGCUUUUUCGAUGUUGCUUGUUAUUGUAAUAUUUGUACUUUUUCCCAGAAUAAAACUGUAUUUAUUUUUCUUGGUGUUUCUGACCAGGCUUAAUGUCAAACAAAUUAUAGUCAUGAAUAAACAGAUGUGUUAAAAUUUAAGAAACAACAUUGGGUGUAUCUUAAAAAGGACUGUUUUGUAGAAAUAAAUACACUGUGCUCAAAUUGCAAUAAUUAUGGAAGGUGAUUAAAUACAUUUG
rnacentral:lncRNA from 1 species